GUGGAUUAGAUACCCUGGUAGUCCACGCCGUAAACGAUGGGUACUAGGUGUAGGGGGUAUAGACUCCCCCUGUGCCGUCGCAAACGCAAUAAGUACCCCGCCUGGGGAGUACGGUCGCAAGACUAAAACUCAAAGGAAUUGACGGGGGCCCGCACAAGCAGCGGAGCAUGUGGUUUAAUUCGAGGCAACGCGAAGAACCUUACCUGGACUUGACAUCUCCUGAAUUACCCUUAACCGGGGAAGCCCUUCGGGGCAGGAAGACAGGUGGUGCACGGCCGUCGUCAGCU
rnacentral:rRNA from 1 species